rnacentral:rRNA from 1 species
UCGAGAAUCUUCCGCAAUGGACGAAAGUCUGACGGAGCGACGCCGCGUGAUGGAUGAAGUCCCUCUGGGACGUAAACAUCUUUUUAUGAGGGAGAAAGUUUAUUGAUAGUACCUCACGAAUAAGGGGUUGCUAAACUCGUGCCAGCAGCAGCGGUAAUACAGAGGCCACGAGCGUUAGUCGGAAUCACUGGGCUUAAAGGGUGCGUAGGUGGGUCCGCAAGCGUCCUGUGAAAUACCUCAGCUCAACUGAGGAACAGCAGGGCGAACUGCGGGUCUUGAGGCAGGUAGGGGCUGGAAGAACGGUCGGUGGAGCGGUGAAAUGCGUAGAGAUCGACCGGAAUGCCGAUGGGGAAGCCGUCCAGCUGGGCCUGUCCUGACACUGAGGCACGAAAGCGUGGGGAGCAAACAGGAUUAGAUACCCCUGUAGUCCCUGAGCGGGCUGGCAAGGCGCAU